rnacentral:rRNA from 1 species
AUUGAACGCUGGCGGCAUGCCUUACACAUGCAAGUCGAACGGUAACAGGUUAAGCUGACGAGUGGCGAACGGGUGAGUAAUGUAUCGGAACGUGCCCAGUCGUGGGGAUAACUGCUCGAAAGAGCAGCUAAUACCGCAUACGACCUGAGGGUGAAAGCGGGGGAUCGCAAGACCUCGCGCGAUUGGAGCGGCCGAUAUCAGAUUAGGUAGUUGGUGGGGUAAAGGCCUACCAAGCCUACGAUCUGUAGCUGGUCUGAGAGGACGACCAGCCACACUGGGACUGAGACACGGCCCAGACUCCUACGGGAGGCAGCAGUGGGGAAGUUUGGACAAUGGACGCAAGUCUGAUCCACCCCUGCCGCGUGCGGGAAGAAGGCCUUCGGGUUGUAAACCGCUUUUGUCAGGGAAGAAACUUUUCUGGUUAAUACCUGGGCCUCCUGACGGUACCUGAAGAAUAAGCACCGGCUAACUACGUGCCAGCCGCCGCCGUACCCC